rnacentral:rRNA from 1 species
UACGUAGGGGGCUAGCGUUGUCCGGAAUCAUUGGGCGUAAAGCGCGUGUAGGCGGUCCGGUAAGUCCGCUGUGAAAGUCGAGGGCUCAACCCUCGAAUGCCGGUGGAUACUGUCGGGCUUGAGUACGGGAGAGGCGAGUGGAAUUCCUGGUGUAGCGGUGAAAUGCGCAGAUAUCAGGAGGAACACCGAUUGCGAAGGCGGCUAUCUGGACCGUAACUGACGCUGAGGCGCGAAAGCGUGGGGAGCGAAACAGG